UGGGGAAUAUUGGACAAUGGACCGAGAGUCUGAUCCAGCAAUUCUGUGUGUACGAUGAAGUUUUUCGGAAUGUAAAGUGCUUUCAGUUGGGAAGAAAGAAAUGACGGUACCAACAGAAGAAGUGACGGCUAAAUACGUGCCAGCAGCCGCGGUAAUACGUAUGUCACGAGCGUUAUCCGGAUUUAUUGGGCGUAAAGCGCGUCUAGGUGGUUAUGUAAGUCUGAUGUGAAAAUGCAGAGCUCAACUCUGUAUUGCGUUGGAAACUGUAUAACUAGAGUACUGGAGAGGUAAGCGGAACUACAAGUGUAGAGGUGAAAUUCGUAGAUAUUUGUAGGAAUGCCGAUGGGGAAGCCAGCUUACUGGACAGAUACUGACGCUAAAGCGCGAAAGCGUGGGUAGCAAACAGGAUUAGAUACCCUGGUAGUCCACGCUGUAAACGAUGUACACUAGGUGUCGGGGCAAGAGCUUCGGUGCCGUAAGCAAACGCAUUAAGUGUACCGCCUGGGAAGUAUGCCCGCAAGGGUG
rnacentral:rRNA from 1 species